GGGUGCGAUCAUACCAGCACUAAUGCACAGGAUCCCAUCAGAACUCCGCAGUCAAGCGUGCUUGGGCGAGAGUAGUACUAGGAUGGGUGACCUCUUGGGAAGUCCUCGUGUUGCACCCC
rnacentral:rRNA from 1 species